ensembl:snRNA U2 U2 spliceosomal RNA
AUCACUUCUUUGCCUUUUGGCUAAGAUCAAAUGUAGUAUCUGUUCUUUAUCAGAUAGGUAUCUUAUUCCAUCAUUUUGUCUCUAUAACAAAUACCAGCUUGUGCUUCAAGUCUCAGUACUCCGUGGUAGGCGGGACUUUUC